CCUUGAUCCUUUAGGUGUUUACUCCGACGAUGAAAUAUGGAAGGCUCUUGAGAAGUGUCAGCUUAAGACGACGAUUAGCAACCUGCCUAAUAAGCUUGAUUCUUCAGUGAGUGAUGAA